rnacentral:lncRNA from 1 species
GAUAUGAAAAAAAAACCAUUCAUAAAUUUGCAAAUGUAUUUUUACAUUCUGCUGCACUAUGGACCUAAGGUCGAACGAAUUAAAAGGGCCAUGUUGUGCCUUCACCCUUGUGGGGAAAAACUUCAGUGGCCCAGACGAUAUUUUUAGCGUGAUGUAUAUCAAAUUAUGGAUGGGGAAUUACAUGGUUUAGUUUGCUUUCAUUGAUGCUUUGAAAUGCAACUGCAAAUUCUUCGAAGAUGAGAGAACGAUCGAGGCGCCUAACCCCAAUCUCUCUUAUAAAUUGUUGCAUCUCUAAUCCAGAUUUAUAUAUAUAAUACUUGUUUUAUACAUGUCAGUAAAUUAGCCUUGAGUCUUGCGAUCCGAAUCAAAAGCCCAACGAGCCAAUUUGUCUUGAUCGCAGGAAAAAGGAAGCAAAUUUGAUGUCAGUCGAGCGCGCCGCCGCCGCCGCCGUCGUCGUCGG